UGAAUCCAAACCUAACCUUAAUCAUUCACUCGAGGUUCUUCAAAAUAAAUGCGCACGAGAAAUUGAAACCCAUUUAUCCGCUGUUUUGGUUCCCAUGAGACACAUUUAAAUAGGAUUCGUAGACAAAUAAAAAAAAAAGGCUUCUAAACUUUCAUGCUUGGGCAUUCCACGGACCAGUCUAUCAAAAUGCGAAUAGAAGCAUAGCCAAUUGUGCAGAAAGCAGGAUAAACCAUGUAAGAGAGCAACAAAUAGUUGUCAUGAGUCUAGCCUAAGGAUCUAGAAUCAUUAAUAAGUGGAUUGAUCAUACAUGAUCUCCGACAGGAAAGUUCAUUAGUAAGCUGAUUAAUCAUAAUCA